rnacentral:misc_RNA from 1 species
GAUGAAGAACGCAGCGAAAUGCGAUAAGUAAUGUGAAUUGUAGAAUUCAGUGAAUCAUCGAAUCUUUGAACGCACAUUGCGCCCGCCAGUAUUCUGGCGGGCAUGCCUGUUCGAGCGUCAUUACAACCCUCAGGCCCCCGGGCCUGGCGUUGGGGAUCGGCGGAGCCCCCCGUGGGCACACGCCGUCCCCCAAAUACAGUGGCGGUCCCGCCGCAGCUUCCAUCGCGUAGUAGCUAACACCUCGCGACUGGAGAGCGGCGCGGCCACGCCGUAAAACACCCAACUCUUCUGAAGUUGACCUCGAAUCAGGUAGGAAUACCCGCUGAACUUAAGCAUAUCAAUAAGCGGAGGA